rnacentral:rRNA from 1 species
CCUACGGGAGGCUGCAGUGAGGAAUAUUGCACAAUGGGCGAAAGCCUGAUGCAGCGACGCCGCGUGGGUGACGAAGGCCUUCGGGUCGUAAAACCCUUUUGGCAGGGACGAGUGAGGACGGUACCUGUCGAAUAAGUCUCGGCUAACUACGUGCCAGCAGCCGCGGUAAAACGUAGGAGGCGCGCGUUAUCCGGAUUCACUGGGCGUAAAGCGUGCGUAGGCGGUUAGGUAAGUCGGAUGUUAAAGCCCUGGCUGAGCGGGGGGAGGUGGUUCGAUACUGGCUGGCUUGAGGAUGAGAGAGGAAAGCGGAAUUCCCGGUGUAGCGGUGGAAUGCGUAGAGAUCGGGAGGAACACCAGUGGCGAAAGCGGCUUUCUGGCUCAUUUCUGACGCUGAGUGCACGAAAGCGUGGGGAGCAAACGGGAGUAGAUACCCGGGUAGUC